AUGGCUAUGUCAUGUUGAAACCCCAGUUCUCAUACGAUCACCAAAUUUAAGCAACAUCAAGACUGGUUAGUACCUAGAUGGGUGACCAAUCUGGGAAUACCAGGUUCUGUAAG